GUACUGGAAAUUGCUAAUUUCACCAUUUUGCCAUCUCUUAGAGAAUGAGUUUGCCAUGACCUUGAAAAGACGGCUCCCUUCAUUGCUAUCUGGUUUUAUGGACCCUGAUAUUGUCGUGUCCAACAUGGUGUUCCUGGGAAGAUUCAUGGCCACCAAAUUCUUGAAAACCUCUUCUCUCUCCUUUUUGUGGAAAACCAGAAGAUCAUUGCAGCCAUCCAUGCUAAAGAUCUCAAUGGCAACGGGCCGAAGUUGAUAAUCA
rnacentral:misc_RNA from 1 species